rnacentral:tRNA from 1 species
UGGAGCGACGGGGAGUGGUGCGCCCUGAGGGAUUCGAACCCUCGACCGUCAGCUUCGAAGGCUGCUGCUCUAUCCA